AAACCAACCGGGAUUGCCUUAGUAACGGCGAGUGAAGCGGCAAAAGCUCAAAUUUGAAAUCUGGUACCUUCGGUGCCCGAGCUGUAAUUUGGAGAGGGCAACUUUGGGGCCGUUCCUUGUCUAUGUUCCUUGGAACAGGACGUCAUAGAGGGUGAGAAUCCCGUGUGGCGAGGAGUGCGGUUCUUUGUAAAGUGCCUUCGAAGAGUCGAGUUGUUUGGGAAUGCAGCUCUAAGUGGGUGGUAAAUUCCAUCUAAAGCUAAAUAUUGGCGAGAGACCGAUAGCGAACAAGUACAGUGAUGGAAAGAUGAAAAGAACUUUGAAAAGAGAGUGAAAAAGUACGUGAAAUUGUUGAAAGGGAAGGGCAUUUGAUCAGACAUGGUGUUUUGUGCCCUCUGCUCCUUGUGGGUAGGGGAAUCUCGCAUUUCACUGGGCCAGCAUCAGUUUUGGUGGCAGGAUAAAUCCAUAGGAAUGUAGCUUGCCUCGGUAAGUAUUAUAGCCUGUGGGAAUACUGCCAGCUGGGACUGAGGACUGCGACGUAAGUCAAGGAUGCUGGCAUAAUGGUUAUAUGCCGC
rnacentral:rRNA from 1 species